rnacentral:piRNA from 1 species
UACUAGAGUUAGCCGGUACGAUGUCUUC